rnacentral:rRNA from 1 species
AGAGUUUGAUCCUGGCUCAGGAUGAACGCUGGCGGCGUGGAUAAGGCAUGCAAGUCGAACGAUCCCUUCGGGGAUAGUGGCAAACAGGUUAGUAACACGUGGAUACCUACCUUCAAGUUGGGUAUAGCUCGGAGAAAUCCGAGGUAAUCCCCAAUAGUUCCUUACGAGGUAAAGCUUUUGCGCUUGAAGAGGGGUCCGCGUCCUAUCAGCUUGUUGGUGGGGUAAAGGCCUACCAAGGCGAUGACGGGUAGGGGGCGUGAGAGCGCGACCCCCAACAGAGGCACUGCGACACGGGCCUCACACCUACGGGUGGCUGCAGUCGAGAAUCUUCCACAAUGGGCGAAAGCCUGAUGGAGCGACGCCGCGUGCGGGAAGACGAUUUUUUAUUGUAAACCCUUUUAUGAGGGAGGAAUUUUUAUGACGUUACCUCAUGAAUAAGGGGGGGCUAAUCACGAGCCAGAAGCAUCGGUAAUACGUGACCCUCAAGCGUUAUCCGGAUUUACUGGGCGUAAAGAGUCUUAAGGCGGUUUAGAAAGUCCUUGGUUAAAUCUCUAGGCUCAACCUAGAGGCUGCCGAGGAUACUUCUAGACUAGAGGACGUUAGAGGCCAGCGGAACGCAGGGUGUAGGGGUGGAAUCCGUUGAUAUCCUGCGGAACACCAAAAGCGAAGGCAGCUGGCUGGGGCGGUCCUGACGCUGAUUGACGAAAGCUAGGGUAGCGAACAAGAUUAGAUACCUUGGUAGUCCUAGCUGUAAACGAUGGAUACUGGCCGGUGGAAGUAUCGACCCUUUCACUGGCGAAGCUAACGCGUUAAGUAUCCCGCCUGGGAAGUACGCGCGCAAGCGUAAAACUCAAAGGAAUAGACGGGGAGUUACACAAGCGGUGGACCACGUGGCUUAAUUCGACUUUAAGCGGAGAACCUUACCAGGGCUUGACAUUUUAGUGGAAAGCUGAAGGAAACUUCGGCCCUCUUCGGACCGCUAAAACAGGUGUUGCAUGGUUGUUGUCAGCAGGUGCCGUGAGGUGCAGCCUUAAUUGGUGAAACCUGCGUAACCCUUAUUCUAUGUUUUAUGUGUCAUAGAAGACUGCCAAGGUCAACUUGGAGGAAGGUGGGGACGACACCAAAUCAGCAUGGCCCUUACGCUCUGGGCAGCACACGUGGUACAAUGGCUGGUACAAAGGGUUGCGAACCCGUAAGGGGGAGCUAAUCCCAUCAAAACCAGUCCCAGUCCGGAUUGAGGUCUGCAAUUUGACCUCAUGAAGUUGGAAUCGCUAGUAAUCGCGGAUCAGCUACGCCGCGAUGAAUAUGUCACUGACUCUUGUACUCACUGCCCGUCAAGUCAGGAAAGCUGGGGAUACCCGAAGUCCACACCUAGUGUGGCCUAAGGUAGAUUCAGUGAUCAGGACUAAGUCGUAACAAGGCA